CAACGUAAUGUUUACAUCUCUAGUUAGCUAGCCAAGUUGCAACAUGCCAGACCCCCAGCAAGGCACUUCUUCUCAGGUGGUAUUUCAAGGACCUCCAGAGCCUUCUGACCAACUAGCUGCAAUCUCUCCAGAGCACAGAGCUUCACUAGUGCUGUCCUUGUGUCUGUGUGACAUAGCAUACAAUCAAGGCUCUCGAGGUAGACAGUUAAGGAAGGCACUGAGCCACAAGCUGUCGCCAUAAACCCAAGUGCUUGAAAUGUCCUCCUCCUCAUCCCAUUCCUCAAGAACUUCAUCCCCAGACUUUUGCACUGACUGCUGACAGGGGUAACCUGUGAUGGAGUGGCAUCGGACCUGAGUUGUUGUCUUCCAGAGAAGGAGGAUGCUGAAACCCUUCUGAUGAAUAAUUUGUUGAUAUGACCCUGAAUGUGAUGCCUGCAUCCUGCCUCCAUCGUCAUACAGAAUAGAUGGGGAAAUGAUUUGCUGCUGAUAUACAACCUGAACCACCAUGCAGUACCUCCAGCAGGCGUAAAGGCAAGAACCAUUCGUCCGCCAGCUCAGGGACACGCUACACUGUUCACAGACCUGUGUAAUGUUAAUGUAGUUGUUUUGCUGGACUUUUUGAAAGGUCAUGUAUUUGUAUUGUGGGGGGGGGGGUAUUAAUGGUAAGGGUUUUCAAAUGUACAAGUAAAAGGGAAAGUAUAGUUUAAACUUGUCUUGAUUAUAUAACACAGUUAUGCCACAGUUAUUAACCCUUUAUAAAGCAUGAUGUAGGGUUAUAGAUGAUUUGUGACACAUGUAUGUAGUGCUUAUGAAGGCUUUAUGAAGGCAACAAUUCUAAAACAGUAGCUUCAUUAUCUAGAAAACAUGCGGGAGGGUGACCUGGCUGUCACUAAUGUAUUCCUGUUCGGUUGUUGCAUAAAAUUAAAGUUAGUGGUUAAUCUCCAUCAGGGAAAUUAGCCCUCUUUUACAUGUUCUCCUCUAAAUUUAGACCACCUAAUAGAGGAAAAACAACCAAUGCAAAGAUAAACCAACGUAACAUGGAGCUUAUCCAAAUAUGCACCACGAAAUAAAUCCCAGAGGGAAUAUUGUAUACAUUCUCUGAUCGCCUGUCAAGAUCAUAAUAUGUUUAAGGAUUACAGAUGAAAUGUGUCGGAAUACCACAGGUGUGUGAAUGAAGGCACCAGGUGUGUCUGAUUUAAUAGAACAGGUGCAUGAAUGACAGGGCGAGUGGAUUAUUAUUCCCAAUCUACAUCCGUGGUUGUGAUAUGUCUUACCAAGAGCAGCACACACACACGUUAGUGUAAUUAAUUCUAAUAUGGCUGUAUUUCAUCAGGUGAAGGUGUUGCAGCAGUAUAACUGAUCUAACCACUUCAUAUAUUGGUGUCAGUGUGGUUAGUUAUCUAAAUGAAACAGUUUACUUUAAAACAGCCAUGCACUUUGUCUCUGCAGUAUUGUAUAUACAAUUAGACUGUAUUUUUUCUCUCACUAGUCGUUACAAUGUAAUUCACCAUAACCUUGUGGCAAUUGUCUUGAGAAAAACGUAUGGGUUAUCAUUUACAUUGUAUCUCCAAUGUAUAGAAUGGGAGAGAAAACCCAAAAUGAUUUACAGUCAAUUACCUACGGUAAGUUAACUCGUGAUCUCUUUCAGGAUGUGUAUAAGAAUACAAAUGUAAUUUAUACUGAUACACUAUUACAUCACAAUGCUGGAUAUGUGAUUGAAUGGGUUUUCCCUCUGAAGAGGAUAAAUUGGGGCCCUCAUACCUUUAUUGUAAAUCCACUUGGGUUAGAGAAUGAUUAAUUGGGGAUUUCCGUAUAGUUCAUAUGAUCAGAAGUUUCACGUUUCACAGUAUCUGUUUCACCGUAUACAUAACAUAACUGUUAUGCUGUGUGGAAAGCCUGUAUGCUGCCAUAAUCAUGAGAUCAUGUUGGAGGCAUAGAACUAAAUAACUCUUAUCAGUUUUAUGGUGGUGCUGGUAUUCAACAUUGCAUGUAGAAUAUGCCAUCAUUAAAUGCCUAUACCUGCUGUGAGGAAAGCCUGAAGCACAUGUGUGCUGUCCUGUCCAAAGUUAGCAAGAUGAACAGGAAUGACAUUUACUCUCAUAGGUGGCCAAUAAGAUCUAUCUGAAAGCCACGCCCCUAAUAAGCCACACUUCCUGAAAAUAACCCAAGGAUUACAUUACAAAAGACCCAGCUGCUAGGUCAGCCCAGCAUGAAAGUAAAAAAUACCCAACUGAUGGUUGAAUUAAACCAUGUUUAGGUAAUCCCAUUAACCCAACAUGUUAGGUUAUUUACGCAACUCAACUGGCUGGGUUAAAAUAACCCAGCAUGUGUUCUGUCCUCUUUCAAAUACUUUAUUUAAGUUUUUUUGUUUUAAGUGGAAGACAAAACAAAAAAAACUAAACAUUUACGCAACCCUGGGUUACCAAAUAACCCAAAUUGGGUUGUUUUUAACCCAGCAUUUUUUAGAGUGUAGGUAAUGUAACAUGUCUAGACUACAGGGCCGUAAUAACUCCACUUCAGAUGUUGUUGUUUUUGGCUGCUAUUGUUCCAUCUGUGUGGAGAUGAUGGUCUUGAGAUCAUGUUGUAUGGAAACUACACAAAGGAACUCUGAGAAGAGGUGGUCUGUAAUGUACGUUUCUAUCCAUCUGGAAAAGGCCCCUUUCCUUUUAAUCAUUGUCUAGGAAUUGUAAUAUAAUUCCCAAAAUAAUCAACAUGUUUAUAUCAGUAAGUCUGUAUCAGCUGUGAAGGUCUUGUAAAUUGCAACUAUCAUUUUCUGCACAUUAUUCAGUGAUUUGUGUCAGAGGUCUGCAUUCUGGUGUACUGUCUUUAAAGAAAGACACCAAAGGUUGGCAUACAUCAGUUUGAUCACAGGUAUGUCACACCAAUACAUUUAAUUUCUUCCAGGAAAUGUUCUUUGUGAGCCAGCCCAGUGUUCCAUAUUACAACGGCUCCCCCAUCUCACCACAUCUGUCAGCUGCAGGCAGGACUGACCGACACUGAGACAGACCCCAGGGUAACUCAUUAGAAUAACCAUCACUCAUAUCUCAGUUUACUCACUUACUUAUGGCACUGCCUAUUCCUGAUUAUUUGUUUUUCAAAUCAUAUGAGCAAAAAAUAUUUA